GAUGAACGCUGGCGGCGUGCCUAAUACAUGCAAGUCGAGCGAACAGACGAGGAGCUUGCUCCUCUGACGUUAGCGGCGGACGGGUGAGUAACACGUGGAUAACCUACCUAUAAGACUGGGAUAACUUCGGGAAACCGGAGCUAAUACCGGAUAAUAUAUUGAACCGCAUGGUUCAAUAGUGAAAGACGGUUUUGCUGUCACUUAUAGAUGGAUCCGCGCCGCAUUAGCUAGUUGGUAAGGUAACGGCUUACCAAGGCAACGAUGCGUAGCCGACCUGAGAGGGUGAUCGGCCACACUGGAACUGAGACACGGUCCAGAAUCCUACGGGAGGCAGCAGUAGGGAAUCUUCCGCAAUGGGCGAAAGCCUGACGGAGCAACGCCGCGUGAGUGAUGAAGGUCUUCGGAUCGUAAAACUCUGUUAUUAGGGAAGAACAAAUGUGUAAGUAACUAUGCACGUCUUGACGGUACCUAAUCAGAAAGCCACGGCGAACUACGU
rnacentral:rRNA from 1 species